rnacentral:tRNA from 2 species
AGGCCCAUAGCUCAGCUGGUUAGAGCGCUUCCUUGACAUGGAAGAGGUCGGCGAUUCGAAUUCGUCUGGGCCUACCA